GUGCCAGCAGCCGCGGUAAUACGUAGGGGGCAAGCGUUGUCCGGAGUUACUGGGCGUAAAGCGCACGCAGGCGGUCGCGUAAGAGUGCGGGGACAGUGGGCGGCUUAACUGCCCAAGGGUCGCACAGACUGCGUGACUGGAGGGCCAGAGAGGGACCUGGAAUUCCGGGUGGAGCGGUGAAAUGCGUAGAGAUCCGGAGGAACACCAAUGGCGAAGGCAGGGUCCUGGCUGGCACCUGACGCUCAUGUGCGAAAGCCAGGGGAGCGAACGGGAUUAGAUACCCCAGUAGUCC
rnacentral:rRNA from 1 species